GGGGGAUUGGUGUAAUUGGUAGCACGACGGAUUCUGGUUCCGUUAGUUAAGGUUCGAGUCCUUAAUCCCCUG
rnacentral:tRNA from 2 species